CNUGCAAGUCGAACGAGGUAGCAAUACCUAGUGGCGCACGGGUGAGUAACGCGUGGAUAAUCUGCCUUUGAGUGGGGGAUAACUAGUCGAAAGAUUAGCUAAUACCGCAUAAGACCACAGGAACUGAGGUUCUAGGGGUUAAAGGUUUUUCGCUCAUAGAUGAGUCCGCGUGAGAUUAGCUAGUUGGUGAGGUAACGGCUCACCAAGGCGACGAUCUCUAACUGGUCUGAGAGGAUGAUCAGUCACACUGGAACUGAGACACGGUCCAGACUCCUACGGGAGGCAGCAGUAGGGAAUAUUGCACAAUGGAGGAAACUCUGAUGCAGCGACGCCGCGUGAGUGAUGAAGGCCUUCGGGUCGUAAAGCUCUGUCGCAGGGGAAUAACACAAUGAAUGUACCCUGUAAGAAAGGAUCGGCUAACUUCGUGCCAGCAGCCGCGGUAA
rnacentral:rRNA from 1 species